rnacentral:rRNA from 1 species
GACAGCAGUAGCCACGGUAAUACGUAGGGUGCAAGCGUUAAUCGGAAUUACUGGGCGUAAAGCGUGCGCAGGCGGUUUGUUAAGACAGAUGUGAAAUCCCCGGGCUCAACCUGGGAACUGCAUUUGUGACUGGCAAGCUAGAGUGUGGCAGAGGGGGGUGGAAUUCCGCGUGUAGCGGUGAAAUGCGUAGAGAUCGGGAGGAACAUCAGUGGCGAAGGCGGCCAUCUGGGACAACACUGACGCUCAUGCACGAAAGCGUGGGGAGCAAACAGGAUUAGAUACCCCUGUAGUCCCUGUCUCUUAUAC